ensembl:lncRNA
CUGGCAUCUCACUCCAGUAUUCUUGCCUGGAGAAUUCUGUGGACAGGAGCCUGGUGGGCUGCAGUCCAUGGGGUCACAAGGAGUCAGACACUGAGCAACGAAUACACACAUUUAAAAACCGGAUUCUACAUAGAAAUCUGUGCUCUUGGCUUGUCUUGAAAAAAUCAGAAGACCUGGCAACAUACUAGGCCUGUAUUUCAUCAUGGCAGCAAUCUGUGGGAACAGCAAGUAACUUACCCUUUAGAUGGGACAUGUGCUUUCCAGUUUGCACAGUCCCUACCACUUCCUGUUGAUUACACACAUCUUUACUCACUUAUAUUUUCCGCCUGGCCCCAGUAGGUAUUUUAGUAUUUGAGUUUGUAACUUCUGUUAUGGGCAGUGGAAAAUGGAAAGUUUUAGAAGGAAAGUGUUUAUGAUUUCAUUAAUUCAUUCAAUAAACACUGAUGAAUUAAAAAUGUAUUACAUGCCAGAUUGUUCAGUGUUGAAAGGUGAAUGAAUCCCUCCCAUGAUAUAGUUACAGUCUAGUGGGAAAAACGAUACAAAUAUCAUUUUAGAAACAGUCCUGUAUAGGUUUGAGAAGAGAGACUUUGGUGACUGGAAGACCAGUUAAAAGGCUACAGUGGUAUAAAGUCUGAAGUUGAUAAAGGCCAGACUUUAGAUAAUCAGUAAGAGGCUAGGAGGGAAGAAAGAGAAAGAGAUGGGAAAGAUACUGCAAAGCAAAACUCUCUUGAUAAGAGAUUGGGUGUGAGAGAGGAGAAUGCAAAGAUGAUGAAAAUUUUGCAUCAUAAAUUAGGAAACCUGUGGUACCAUUAACAGGAAUAGGAAAUUAGGGACUCCAUUUAACCCUCUCUUAACUGGGCAGGGGCACUGAGGAAGGGGGUUGUUUGGAGAUACCAAUUUGAGGUGUCUCUUGUUUUGAGUUCGGGUAUUGGCAUGUACACAAUAUGAGUGUUUUUAAAAAGAAAACUUAAUAGAACUGUGGUCAGAAUUGCAUGAGUAGGGUUAGAUGUCACUCAUUACGAUCUGGGAAACCAAGAGAAUACCUGGAGAAGUGUUAAAGUUGUUUAAUAAAGGUCUUGUAAGAGGACCUGUAUUAAAAAUAAUUGCGUUGGAGGCCCUAUAGUUAAAAUUUAUUACAUUAUUUACAUCCUCUUUUGAAUGUACAGUUUUCAGGUUUAUGUUGCAUUGUUAAGUUUAACUUUCUAUUUCUGAGAGAAUAGAAGAUACUGUAUAAACUCAGUGCUUAAAGACAUUUUCUGAGUAUCAGAAUUUAAGUCAUAAUUGGCUUAUGAGGUAGUUCAGGGGUGAGGAUUGUCAUAACUGUUGCUAUGUUGAGAUAAUAGCCCAAGUCUUUCCUCUUAUGAUCUUAUGUUUGCAGUACUUGAUUCCCUCUGCUUUUACUGUGGUAAAAUAUAUGUAACAUAAAAAUUGUCGUUUUAGCCGUUCCGUGGUGUAAUUACUUUCACGGUGUUGUACAGCUAUCACUAUUCUCUAUUUACAUUUUUCAUCACCCCAGCAGAAACUCUGGACCUGUUAAGCAAUAGCUCGCAUUCUCCCCUCACAACCCCUGGUAAACUCUAAUCUACUUUCUGUUUCUACAGAUUUGCCUUUUCUAGAUAGUUCAUGUUGUAGCAUGUAUCAGAAAGUCUUUGCUUUUUAUAGCUAAAUAAUAUUCCAUUGUAUUUGUGUGUGUGUCCUAUUUUGUU